GUGGGGAAUAUUGCGCAAUGGGGGAAACCCUGACGCAGCGACGCCGCGUGAGUGAUGAAGGCUUUCGGGUCGUAAAGCUCUGUUAUAAGGGACGAAGAACUGCAGGAAUAAUACGCCUGCAGCGUGACGGUACCUUAGGAGGAAGCCCCGGCUAACUACGUGCCAGCAGCCGCGGUAAGACGUAGGGGGCGAGCGUUGUCCGGAAUUACUGGGCGUAAAGAGCACGUAGGUGGACCAUUAAGUCAGGUGUGAAAGACCGGGGCUCAACUCCGGGGUUGCACUUGAAACUGGUGGUCUUGAGGGCAGGAGAGGAAAGUAGAAUUCCUGGUGUAGCGGUGAAAUGCGUAGAAAUCAGGAGGAAUACCAGUGGCGAAGGCGGCUUUCUGGACUGUCCCUGACACUGAGGUGCGAAAGCGUGGGGAGCAAACAGGAUUAGAAACCCGAGUAGUCC
rnacentral:rRNA from 1 species